rnacentral:rRNA from 1 species
UACACACCGCCCGUCACACCAUGGGAGUCGGUCUCACCAGAAGCCGGUAGUCUAACCGCAAGGAAGACACCGUCCACGGUGUGGUCGAUGACUGGGGUG